CCUACGUGAGGCAGCAGUGGGGAAUAUUGCGCAAUGGGCGAAAGCCUGACGCAGCGACGCCGCGUGAGGGAUGAAGGUCUUCGGAUCGUAAACCUCUGUCAGCAGGGAAGCACGGUCACUGUGCUAAUCAGCAGUGAAUUGACGGUACCUGCAAAGGAAGCACCGGCUAACUCCGUGCCAGCAGCCGCGGUCAUACGGAGGGUGCGAGCGUUAAUCGGAAUUACUGGGCGUAAAGCGCUCGUAGGCGGUAUGUCAAGUCAAGGGUGAAAUCCCCGCGCUCAACGUGGGAACUGCCUUUGAAACUGGCAAACUGGAGUGUGUGAGAGGAUAGUGGAAUUCCAGGUGUAGGAGUGAAAUCCGUAGAUAUCUGGAGGAACAUCAGUGGCGAAGGCGACUAUCUGGCACAUAACUGACGCUGAGGAGCGAAAGCGUGGGUAGCAAACAGGAUUAGAUACCCCAGUAGUC
rnacentral:rRNA from 1 species